UGUGCCUUUGUAUGUUGGCAGUAUUUAAUUUUCUUUUGAUUUUUACAAGGGCUCACAGCUAAGAGGCUGCCCUAUGUCUCAGAGGAGACUUGGGACUUGGACUUCAGGAAUGUUUGAACUAUUACAAAUUUGGCAAUUCUUAAAGAUGGACUCAGUGCAGAUUUCAUAAAGAGUAGGUUUGGUGAAAUGGUGUGCAAUGCCUUUCCCGAAGCCAAAGGAAGAAAGAAAGGAGAAAUGUUAAGACUGCCUUGAAGCAGAGCCCGGAGCAGCCCCGGAGCCGAGUCCCCCGUGCUGAGGCCCACGGGGGUCUGCGGCUGGGCCUCGUCUCCCCGCGCUCCACAGCUCAGAGCCCCGCUCUUGUUCGGCUUCAGCGAUGACGCCCCCCAUUGCACCUGUGUUCAGGUCUUCCGCCGGAAUGGUGGCUGCUGGCGUUCCGUUUGGGCCUGCUGGUUCUGCCCGCCGGGUGAUCCUCCUCUCCGGUUUUCGGCAGGUGGUGGGGUUGGGGUCCGGUUCAGGCUCAGUUCCCAGUGUGGUUGGAUCUGGCUCAGGGUUUUCCCGCGUGUAAACGUCUGCCCACGCUUAGAGCAGAGAAGGCCGCAGCUGCAAGGCUGGGGUCAUGCAGGGCCGGGGAGGGGCUGUUUGUGGUGGAAGCGCUGUCACAGUGGGCGUGGAGGUAAGGCUCCUCCCCGUGUGGGCACACGUAUGCACGAUCACGCUCCUCCCCGUCCACAGCACAAUCGCACUGGUCACACUUAGCGCGUUUCUCGCUCUCGUGUGACUUGCGAGGCCGCGUGAGGGCACAGCGCUCACGAAUCAGCGUGGCAGUAAAGGGCCUUGCUCGCCUUGCUCGGUAAGGAAUGCUGCUUUCGAGAGUGGACCCCAGAUCGCUUUUGGGCUAUGACAGUGUCAGUGGGACAAUGAAGCUCAGCCACAUUUUGUGGGCUUCUGUGAGAUGCGCGUCUUCGUGCACGGCUCUGGGUAAACCGAGCGUGACAAACGUAACAUUCAUAAGGUUUUCCCUGAAGGGGUUCUCCCGAGCCUCGUGAGCUUCGUGUAUCCUGCGAGCACAACUGCACAGCUGCACGACUGUGCUGGUGGCUGGCGGCGGACGUGCCCGUCUAAUUUGCUGACUCCUACGCUGGCAUCGCCACCCGCGGGACACUUAGAUGGCCUCUCCGGGAUGUGUUCGUGACGACAAUGCCUCACCUGUCUCCCCUGGCCACAAAGGCCGGGCCAUAGCCUGGGCACCGAGGACGGCCGCCCAGGUGGGCAUCAAGGUGAUUCUGCAGGAGGCUGACUUCUGAAUGCCCUGCCGAGAGAGCUCUCGCGUGGUUUCACAUCAGUGUGGCUUUUCAUGGGACCACCCAAAUUUGAGCAGCUCCGUGGACGCGUGCAACUGCAAAGCUACACUGGAGUGACUUCUUCACCUUUCUUUUACACUUUCGUUGGCUCUGGAGGCCCCCUCUCACCAGCUACCUUUUCUGCGUUGACCUCCGACCUCCGACCUUCCUGCUUUCCUUCCUCAGUUGUAGACGGACACAUCCACGUCUUCGCUCUCCUCUGUGUAGUGCAGUUUGCUCUGUUUGGUUUUCUUUGUUUUUUGGCUGGGGGCUGAUAGCCUGGGUCUUUUUGCCAGCGAGGCUCUUCCUGAGGCGGAAGUUCCCCUAGCGCUAGAGUCUCCACCUCCACUGGCCCCGCUUUCACCACCCGAAGCCCUGCAGGCAAAGAAAAGGCGAGACGUGGCGUGGGUUCGCUUUCUGCAAGGCCCUCUCUAGCUCUUCACUCUCGUGAGGCCCCUGAAGUUCUUCUCGUGCAGUGGCAGCAACAGGUACAGUUGCAGGAGCAGGUACUGAACAAGUCGAGGCUCUCCUACGUUUACAGGCUGUUCUUCCACACUGAAGACCUGCGCUCUGCGCAUUGUCUGCAGCCGCCUCUGCGCACCUGCACCGGCCACUGCUGUGACCUCUACCGCCCUUCCUUUUAUUAUUUUUGAGAGAAAAUUUUGCUGCAUAUAUAAUUCAAGGUUGCUGCUUUUUUCUUUCAACACUUUAAAUAUUGCACUCUUCUCUCUUCUUGCUUCAGUGUUUUUGUUUUUGUUUUCUGAGACAGGAUCUCAAUAGAUAGCCCAAGCUGGCCUCGAACUCAUGGCGAUCCUCCUGCCUCAGCCUGCUGAGUGCUGAGAUUACAAGUGUGCGCCACCAUGCAUGGUACAAUGGUUUUUAGAGGAGCACUGGGGAUUGAAGUUGUAGCCUUUGCCCUGAGCCACAUCUUCUGCCUUGUCUUUAUUUUUUAUUUUGAGACAGGGUCUCGAUAAGUCACUAAUUUUCC
rnacentral:lncRNA from 1 species